GAUGAACGCUAGCGGCGUGCCUAACACAUGCAAGUCGAACGUGAGAGGGUACUUGUAUCCUUGAAAGUGGCGGACGGGUGAGUAAGACGUAGGUGACCUGCCUUGAAGUGGGGGAUAACCAUUGGAAACGAUGGCUAAUACCGCAUAAGCUGGUGACGAUGGGAAUCGUUAUCAGGAAAGCUUUAGUGCUUUGAGAGGGGCCUACGGCCGAUUAGCUAGUUGGUGAGGUAAAGGCUCACCAAGGCGAUGAUCGGUAGCUGGUCUGAGAGGACGAUCAGCCACACGGGAACUGAGACACGGUCCCGACUCCUACGGGGGGCAGCAGUGAGGAAUAUUCGGCAAUGGGGGCAACCCUGACCGAGCAACGCCGCGUGGAGGAUGACGGUUUUCGGAUUGUAAACUCCUUUUGUGGGGAAAAGAAUGGAUGGUACCCCAAGAAUAAGUCACGGCUAACUACGUGCCAGCAGCCGCGGUAAGGCGUAUGUGU
rnacentral:rRNA from 1 species